rnacentral:lncRNA from 1 species
CCAGGAGGUGAGCCUAGGUAGAUCCAGCAUGUGCUCUGUUCCACCCCUGACUCUGGAGUUCUAGGAGAAUUUAGGACUGGGGACAUAAAAUUGUGGUUCAUUGACAUUCGGAUGUUGUAUAAAGCCAAGCGACUAGCUGAGAUCCCCUGGGGAGAGUCAUCUCAUAUAGUGAAGAAGACAUGUCCCAGGCCCAGCCCGGAGACUGUGG